CGCUAGCGGCAUGCCUAACACAUGCAAGUCGAGGGGUAAGGUUCAGCUUGCUGAAUACACGACCGGCGCACGGGUGAGUAACACGUUUGCAAUCUUCCUCUAACUGGAGAAUAGCCCGAAGAAAUUCGGAUUAAUACUCCAUAAAGUCAAUUUAAGGCAUCUUUUAUUGAUUAAAGCUCCGGCGGUUAGAGAUGGGCAUGCGUGUCAUUAGCUAGUUGGUGAGGUAACGGCUCACCAAGGCCACGAUGACUAGGGGGUCUGAGAGGAUGAUCCCCCACACUGGUACUGAGACACUGACCAGACUCCUACGGGAGGCAGCAGUGAGGAAUAUUGGGCAAUGGACGCAAGUCUGACCCAGCCAUGCCGCGUGCAGGAUGACUGCCCUAUGGGUUGUAAACUGCUUUUGUUUGGGAAGAAACCCCCGAUCGUGAUCGGGGCUGACGGUACCAUACGAAUAAGCAUCGGCUAACUCCGUGCCAGCAGCCGCGGUAAUACGGAGGAUGCAAGCGUUAUCCGGAUUCAUUGGGUUUAAAGGGUGCGCAGGCGGAAUAUUAAGUCAGUGGUGAAAUCCUGCAGCUUAACUGUAGAACUGCCAUUGAUACUGAUAUUCUUGAAUAUAGUUGAGGUGGGCGGAAUGUGUAAUGUAGCGGUGAAAUGCUUAGAUAUUACACAGAACACCAAUUGCGAAGGCAGCUCACUAAACUAAUAUUGACGCUGAGGCACGAAAGCGUGGGUAGCAAACAGGAUUAGAUACCCUGGUAGUCCACGCUGUAAACUAUGAUCACUCGCUGUUGGCGAUACAUCGUCAGCGGCUGAGCGAAAGCAUUAAGUGAUCCACCUGGGGAGUACGGUCGCAAGAUUGAAACUCUAAGGAAUUGACGGGGGCACGCACAAGCGGAGGAACAUGUGGU
rnacentral:rRNA from 1 species